rnacentral:rRNA from 1 species
AUUGAACGCUGGCGGCAGGCCUAACACAUGCAAGUCGAACGGUAACAGGAAGAAGCUUGCUUCUUUGCUGACGAGUGGCGGACGGGUGAGUAAUGUCUGGGAAACUGCCUGAUGGAGGGGGAUAACUACUGGACACGGUAGCUAAUACCGCAUAACGUCGCAAGACCAAAGAGGGGGACCUUCGGGCCUCUUGCCAUCGGAUGUGCCCAGAUGGGAUUAGCUAGUAGGUGGGGUAACGGCUCACCUAGGCGACGAUCCCUAGCUGGUCUGAGAGGAUGACCAGCCACACUGGAACUGAGACACGGUCCAGACUCCUACGGGAGGCAGCAGUGGGGAAUAUUGCACAAUGGGCGCAAGCCUGAUGCAGCCAUGCCGCGUGUAUGAAGAAGGCCUUCGGGUUGUAAAGUACUUUCAGCGGGGAGGAAGGGAGUAAAGUUAAUACCUUUGCUCAUUGACGUUACCCGCAGAAGAAGCACCGGCUAACUCCGUG